rnacentral:lncRNA from 1 species
CUCUUGUCUUGUCAAAGGAUGGACACGCUCUAUAUCAGUGGAGGCUGCUCAGAGGAAGAAGGGGAGGACCAUCCUCCUCAGUGAAAUUUCAUAAAAAUAGGUGAUGACCACUCCACUCAACUAUCAUUGUCAACUCUCUCUUGACAUGAACUGAAGCCAUGUCUCAUGUGCCCCCUCAUCUACUGGCACGUUGAAUGUUUCCUCUCCAAGCACUUCAAAUAUUUUCUUGCAAUGAAGUCAAGCCUCUGAACACCUCAACUCAUGCCUCAUACCCUCAUUCAAUCACUGCUGUGAUCCCUUCCCAACACUGUGUCUCCCAUCCUCUUCAAUUUUUCAAGUCACCAGCCUCUGCUGCUCUAUAUUCAUUAGUGUCUGGAGCCAAAUUCUAA